AUGAAAAGACGUAAAUGGGCUGGUAACCCGAAGUGCUCCUUCUAUCAGGGUAGAGAAACUUCUCAACACCUCUUCUUCACCUGCCCAGUCGCGAGGGUAGUUUGGAGGACGGUGGGUUGUGUGUUUGGUACAGAUUUGUGCCCUGAUAACCUGUGGCAGUAUUUCUCCUGGUGCUAUACCUUCUUACCUGAUGAUGCUAAAUUUUAUACUUUUGGCCUGGCUGCGAUUUGCUGGGCUAUGUGGAUCUAUCGUAAUCGGGCCACAUUCGAAUGCAAAAAACUGAGAACUCCUUUUGAUGUGGUUUUCUCUGCAUGUGGGUACAUGAACUAUUGGGCAGGUCUGAUGGAGGGAACUGAUCGUGAGGCGAUGGAGCGCGGCGCUAAGAUGCUCAAGACCAACGCAGCUGCCAUGAUGAGGAUUUGCACGGCCCCAGCUGGAAUGGCGAUGGAUUGA
rnacentral:rRNA from 1 species